rnacentral:misc_RNA from 1 species
AAUAUAAAAGCAGCAAUAAUUCUUAAAGGCCGGCAACUAAUCUUCUAUAUGUACUACAUAAUUUGUCUAUAUAGCUUUGUACUUUCAACUGAAGUAGAAGCAGAAUGGGUCUGCAAUUGGCAUCUGCGCUCAUUUUCUUGCUGUUGCAAAUAAUGUCAUCAGAAUUAUCGGGUUUACCAAUGAAGAGCUGUGAAUCUCAAUGUGGCGACAUUGAUAUCCAGUACCCAUUUGGUAUUGGACCCAAUUGUUCCAUGAACGAUUGGUUUGUGAUUGUUUGCAAUGGAACUGCCAAUAAUCGGAGAGCUUUCAUAAGCAGCAUCAACCUGGAGGUCGUAGACUUUUUAUAUGAAAGAAGCCGCCUGCGAGUUAAAAGCCCAGUAAUUUCCAUCAAUUGUACGGUGCAUAACUCUGGCCGAGUCGUGGAUUUGAGACGGACUCCUUUCACCAUCUCUAACUACAACAGAUUUACCGUUGUGGGCUGCAAAAACCGUGUUUUGCUGACUUAUGCUGAUCCAGACAUUGUUGGUUGCCAGCCG